rnacentral:rRNA from 1 species
UACACUCCUACGGGAGGCAGCAGUGGGGAAUAUUGCACAAUGGGCGCAAGCCUGAUGCAGCCAUGCCGCGUGUAUGAAGAAGGCCUUCGGGUUGUAAAGUACUUUCAGCGGGGAGGAAGGCGAUAAGGUUAAUAACCUUGUCGAUUGACGUUACCCGCAGAAGAAGCACCGGCUAACUCCGUGCCAGCAGCCGCGGUAAUACGGAGGGUGCAAGCGUUAAUCGGAAUUACUGGGCGUAAAGCGCACGCAGGCGGUCUGUCAAGUCGGAUGUGAAAUCCCCGGGCUCAACCUGGGAACUGCAUUCGAAACUGGCAGGCUAGAGUCUUGUAGAGGGGGGUAGAAUUCCAGGUGUAGCGGUGAAAUGCGUAGAGAUCUGGAGGAAUACCGGUGGCGAAGGCGGCCCCCUGGACAAAGACUGACGCUCAGGUGCGAAAGCGUGGGGAGCAAACAGGAUUAGAAACCCUUGUAGUCCCAUG